GAGCGGGAUGGAGCGGGACGCUGGCCUAUUGUGUUGCCCUGGCCCGGACGCUCCACCACCCAGACCCAGGACACCACCCAGCCUUUCAGCCCCACGAUGUGGCCAGAGUGGGGGGACAGGGGGGUACAUGGAGACACAGAGGAGCCUUGUCUGGGCUGACUCCUUCCUGGCUUGCCUGGCCUUGCCCCUACGCCCCCUAUCCACCUCCCCUUCCCAAAACACCACCUCCCGACUCCGUCGCACUCCUCGGAAUGACGGCUGACUUGACAGCAGCAAUAUGCUUUAAAGUGUCAAGUCAAGUCCCUCCAUUGUCUCUCUGAGUAGAGAGCCGAGGCACUGGAAUGCACAAUUGUGUGUGUAGUCAGACGUAAAGGAGCUGAGUUUGCGUGUUCUUUAUUUGCUUGUGUAUAUAUUACUAGUUUGUCUGCUAUCUUUUUUACAUGUCCACAUGAGAGAAGAAGAGUUCAUUCUCUAAGGCUGUCAUCAUGACAGAAACCCUCAGCACACUAUUUUCAGUUACCGCUACAAAAAAGGCAAAGAAAACAGGUGUGUUUUGAGAAGAGUCAAGUAAUGAGUGAUUUAAGGGCGGACAGUUUGGCCAGUCCUGUGAGUGAGGUAUGUGGUAAUGAGGGCUUAGAGGGAGAGCGUUGCUCCUGUGUGUAUAGUACCAUCUCCCAUAGCCCCAGGGUCUGACUGGCUCUGUGUAGGCUGACAGACUCCACCUGGGGGGGCAUCCUCUCCCGUGGAGGUCCUGGUAUUGUGGUGGUGGUGGUGGAGGGUUGAUGACACCGGCUCAGGGCAAGGAGGAAUGGGAGUUUGUUGGGUGUCUGAGUGAAGUGUGUGUUUGUUGUGUGUGCAUGGGUAUGAUACCGAGCCGUUUCUGAAGCCUUUAGGGGACAGGCGGUCUGGCACUAAUUGAGUUACAACCAGGUGUUGGAACUGGUUCAGGGAGCAGCAUAAACCCAUUUUAUUUUUAGAGGAACAGAAACAGAACCUGGAAAGAAAGUGAUCUCUAGUGUUGCGGAACAGAACCGUUACUUUUAAAUCUUGAGAACCAGUGUCUAGUAUAUACUGUAAUUCUGUAAUACAGUGACGUUAAACAUAUUCCAAUUCACAUCAUGUCAUGGUGCUCAGCACUUCAAGCCAAGCCCCCUCCACGUCCACUCCUCUCUCUCUCUCCCUGUGAAAUUUCAGUCACAUCUCUCGUCAGUCACAUCUCUCGCCUGCACUUAUCUGUCCUCAAACAUGUAAACAACUAGCUUACACGUUCCACAGCAAGCUGCUCUAUCCACGCUUAUCGGUGGACUAAAUGAAAGAAUGAUGUUGAUUUCACAGGGUUAAAAAAUGAACAAACCAUUACUUUUUUAGGAGGAUCGAACCGAUUCAGAACUUUAUUAUGCUGGUCGGAACACUGUAAAUAAAUAAAUAGGGGUUCUGCUCAGAAUGGAUCCUCUCUUUCUAUUGCAUCACGUAACACAGUACAGUAGUAUAUUCUCUAUGUGAUAUGCCAAUCCUGCUUGUGCUGUUUCAGAUGACGGUGACAGUGUCCUCCUCGUCCCGCUGUUCUCAGGUCAGCUCUAGCCAGUCCCAUGUGUUUGAUGAACUGGAGGCCAUCGCCCCGCGGACCCGCUCUUGUCUGUCCCUAGACAACCCACUCAGCCCAGCAGACUGCAGCCCACCUGGUACAGAGAUGUCCACAGGCUUGGCUGCUCUGACAGUGGGCUGUGACUCAGGGGACCUGGGCUCCCUGUCCCGUGUGCAGCUCCUGGACCGGUCGGACCCUGUGGAGCCCCACUGGCUCGCUGGUCAGGACAUGUACUCCCCAACAGAAGACGGAACAAAAGGCCACACAGCGGCGCUCCGAGCCAGAAGACCUCUGAGUCCAACGCUGUAUACUACAGGCGUCCUGCAACCCCUCACAGCUGGCAGCUGUGGAGACGACAGUGUGUCUGAGAGGUGUGUCGCCACAGGCAAAGUCCAGGGACAGGGUGACCACACAAUGCAGUGCCACACCGAGGAUGGUUCCAGGUCACCGUCGUCAUGGAUCAGUGAUUCCAGUCCGUCAGGCAUCAUAUCGGGGUCCACCAGUUCCCAAUAUGGGGAGGAGUCCGAGGGAAGUGACCAAACCAGCCAGGCCCUUACCUCCUUAAAUGACAGGGGUGAGUGACAUUUUAGUGAGAUGUCUUAAUGUGGGAUAGUAAAGUUUUCCCACUGUAUUAUUACCUCUAUUUUACACGCCUGCAAUGGAACGCUCAUAAUGCUCAUUGGACAUAAGACAGCCGUUUGUUGUGGUGGAGACCUAAACAUCCCGUAACCCCAAAAGACGGUCUUAUUUACUGCAGCUCUGCGAGAACAAACUUGUCACAUAAAAAAAGAUCCUCCCAGGUAUCCUUGGUGAUGGUCUGUGUGCUCGUGCACAAUGACCUCUGGGAGGCCAAAGACAUGGUCAGAGCCCAGGAGAGGGUCAUGGGGAGGGCGCUGAGGGGUCAGCCCCGGGUUCAGCGAGCCUUUGAGAGGUGCCCAGUGUGUGGGAUGGCUUUGUGUGGCCAUAGGUUAGGUGAGAUUGGGUUUCCAAGCGGAGGAACGGCACAGUUAAAACUCUCAAUAGAGCUCCCUAAGUAGUCCAUAGAGUGAAACUGUUAGGACUCAAUGUGACACUGUGGGGACAGCAUUGUAGAGUGACAGCAUGGCGUUCCAGUAUGAAUUUACGAAUCCAAUGGACUUUGACCUAAAAGUAUGUAUCCAAAUAAAGAAUAUACGACAAAUGUGAAAUACAGACCCUGUUGUCGUCGUUAUCAGUUUUUUGUUAUAACAGUUUCAUAGCUUUAUAAUGUGGCUUGUUCCAAACAAACUCCACCUGUGCAUGAACCAAUAGGUAGAAUACAGGCCAAUGCCACUUAGGCCAACGACUUACCCCGUCAGAAACAUCAUGCAAUAAGAUAAGUCAGUAAGCUAUGUGGUCUGUCCCCAGUGAGCUCUCUGAUAAGGUCUUUGUCCCUCUCUCUCUGUCAUAACUAAUUCAUAGGUACUAUAAUCCCCUUCAUAAUUGUUUCAUGACUGUUUCAAUUCGGCCCCAUCACUCCUGUGUUUACCCCAGAGUUUAGCAUUCAGCUGUUACUGAAGACGUCAGUGCCCUAAGUGAAUAUUGUUAUGAGGCGGGGCCACAAAGAGGACUAAUCUGGACUGACCAUGGUAGAUUGUUCCGGAAGGCUUCGGGGAGCCACUAGCUGGACAGAUUAUGGCCGGUGAAAAAGAAGGGAAAGACACUGGAGCAGAGAUUAGUCGUGUUCCAAGCAGAAUGGUGUCCCCCCCUCCCCCAGAGGACCACACACUGACAAUGUAGCUGUGUCACCAUUGUCUCUAAACCACUGCUACUGUGGGCUCAGCGGCCAUUGUCUCCUCCGAAAUCCACCAUCGUUUUCUCUCCCUCCUUGCCCUUUUUCAAACCUGGAUUCAUCCAGGCCCUUUGAUUGGCACUUGUCAGCCGCUGAUAGAGAGGAUGACGUGUUGGAAAACGAACCGGCCAAUAAAGGAGUCCUGAAAAGGCCAAUCCCUCCCCAUGAAUAAUAAUCUGUACGGAUUUGCCUUUUUCCUCCGCCCCUCC
ensembl:lncRNA